rnacentral:rRNA from 1 species
CGCGCAGGCGGAUUAGCAAGUCAGAGGUGAAAUCCUACAGCUUAACUGUAGAACUGCCUUUGAAACUGUUAAUCUUGAGUACGGAAGAGAGAAGCGGAAUUCCAGGUGUAGCGGUGAAAUACGUAGAUAUCUGGAAGAACACCAGUUGCGAAGGCGGCUUCUUGGUCCGUUACUGAUGCUGAGGCGCGAAAGCGUGGGGAGCAAACA